CCCUUAGAUGUUCUGGGCCGCACGCGUGCUACACUGAGUGGAUCAGCGGGUCAGGUUGCGCGAAAGCGUUUCCUAAUCUUUAAACCCGCUCGUGAUGGGGAUUGACGGUUGCAAUUUUCUGUCAUGAACGAGGAAUACCUUGUAAGCGCGGGUCAUCAUCCCGCGCUGAAUACGUCCCUGCCCUUUGUACACACCGCCCGUCGCUCCUACCGAUUGAGUGGUCCGGUGAGGCUUUGGGAUCUGAGCGGAAAGAGCGUUUCGCUGUUUCUGCUCGGAAAACUCAGUCGAACCUUAUCAUUUAGAGGAAGGAGAAGUCGUAACA
rnacentral:rRNA from 1 species